GAUGAACGCUAGCUACAGGCUUAACACAUGCAAGUCGCGGGGCAGCAUGGGGGUUGCUUGCCAUCCCCGAUGGCGACCGGCGCACGGGUGAGUAACGCGUAUCCAACCUGCCCUUCACCACGGGAUAACCCGGCGAAAGUCGGGCUAAUACCGUAUGUUGUCCAUUGACGGCAUCCGAUUUGGACGAAAGGCUUGGCGGUGAGGGAUGGGGAUGCGUCCGAUUAGCCAGACGGCGGGGUAACGGCCCACCGUGGCCACGAUCGGUAGGGGUUCUGAGAGGAAGGUCCCCCACACUGGAACUGAGACACGGUCCAGACUCCUACGGGAGGCAGCAGUGAGGAAUAUUGGUCAAUGGGCGUAAGCCUGAACCAGCCAAGUAGCGUGCAGGAUGACGGCCCUAUGGGUUGUAAACUGCUUUUAUGCGGGGAUAAAGUGGCCCACGUGUGGGCUUUUGCAGGUACCGCAUGAAUAAGGACCGGCUAAUUCCGUG
rnacentral:rRNA from 1 species